GACGAACGCUGGCGGCGUGCCUAAUACAUGCAAGUCGAGCGGGACUCUUCGGAGUCCAGCGGCGGACGGGUGAGUAACACGUGGGCAACCUGCCUAUAAGACUGGGAUAACUUCGGGAAACCGGAGCUAAUACCGGAUAAUUCAUAUCUACUCAUGUCGGUAUGCUGAAAGACGGUUUACGCUGUCACUUAUAGAUGGGCCCGCGGCGCAUUAGCUAGUUGGUGAGGUAACGGCUCACCAAGGCGACGAUGCGUAGCCGACCUGAGAGGGUGAUCGGCCACACUGGGACUGAGACACGGCCCAGACUCCUACGGGAGGCAGCAGUAGGGAAUCUUCCGCAAUGGACGAAAGUCUGACGGAGCAACGCCGCGUGAGUGAUGAAGGUUUUCGGAUCGUAAAACUCUGUUGUUAGGGAAGAACAAGUACUAGAGUAACUGCUAGUACCUUGACGGUACCUAACCAGAAAGCCACGGCUAACUACGUGCCAGCCGCCGCAGUAAAAC
rnacentral:rRNA from 1 species